UACGAAGGGUCCUAGCGUUGUUCGGAAUUACUGGGCGUAAAGGGCGCGUAGGCGGGUUUUUAAGUCAGGGGUGAAAUCCUGGAGCUCAACUCCAGAACUGCCUUUGAUACUGAAGAUCUUGAGUUCGGGAGAGGUGAGUGGAACUGCGAGUGUAGAGGUGAAAUUCGUAGAUAUUCGCAAGAACACCAGUGGCGAAGGCGGCUCACUGGCCCGAUACUGACGCUGAGGCACGAAAGCGUGGGGAGCAAACAGG
rnacentral:rRNA from 1 species